rnacentral:rRNA from 1 species
AGAGUUGAUCAUGGCUCAGGAUGAACGCUAGCUACAGGCCUAACACAUGCAAGUCGAGGGGCAGCACAAGGAGUAAUCUGAGGUGGCGACCGGCGCACGGGUGAGUAACACGUAUGCAACCUGGACUGUAAAGAGGGGAAUAACCCGGAGAAAUCCGGACUAAUACCGCAUAAUACUUAGAAUCCGCAUGGAUUUUAAGUUAAACAUUUAUGGCUUACAGAUGGGCAUGCGUAUGAUUAGCUGGUUGGAGAGGUAACGGCUCCCCAAGGCAACGAUCAUUAGGGGUUCUGAGAGGAAGGUCCCCCACACUGGUACUGAGACACGGACCAGACUCCUACGGGAGGCAGCAGUGAGGAAUAUUGGUCAAUGGACGCAAGUCUGAACCAAGCCAAGUCGCGUGAAGGAAGAAUGUCCUAUGGAUUGUAAACUUCUUUUGAAGGGGAAUAAAGUACGGUACGUGUACCGUUUUGUAUGUACCCUUCGAAUAAGGAUCGGCUAACUCCGUGCCAGCCGCGGC